UCUAGGUGGGAGGGUUGGUCUGAGCCGAGGAAGAGGGUAUGGCUCAUCUAUAAGAAAGGCCACUGAAGUUACUAAUGGCAGCCCUGAACAGUACCUGAUGCACCAAAGACUGAAGCACCAUGGGAUGAAUGGACAAGAAGGACAGCAUUCACCAUCACAACCAUCAUCAGACGUCCAGUCUGAGCAAAAUAUCUCUAAUCUUCAAACAACGCGGGCUUCUUAGACCUACAGGCUUGCAGAUUUAUAUCUAAGGAAGGAGAACCUCUGGGCAUGAGGCUAAAGAUG